UACGGAGGGAGCUAGCGUUAUUCGGAAUUACUGGGCGUAAAGCGCACGUAGGCGGCUUUGUAAGUCAGAGGUGAAAGCCCGGGGCUCAACCCCGGAAUAGCCUUUGAGACUGGAUUGCUAGAAUCUUGGAGAGGCGAGUGGAAUUCCGAGUGUAGAGGUGAAAUUCGUAGAUAUUCGGAAGAACACCAGUGGCGAAGGCGGCUCGCUGGACAAGUAUUGACGCUGAGGUGCGAAAGCGUGGGGAGCAAACAGG
rnacentral:rRNA from 1 species